GAUGAACGCUGGCGGCGUGCCUAAUACAUGCAAGUCGAGCGAACAGAUGAUGAUCUUGCUGCUCUGACGUUAGCGGCGGGCGGGUGAGUAACACGUGGAUAACCUACCUAUAAGACUGGGAUAACUUCGGGAAACCGGAGCUAAUACCGGGUAAUAUAUUGAACCGCAUGGUUCAAUAGUGAAAGACGGUUUUGCUGUCACUUAUAGAUGGAUCCGCGCCGCAUUAGCUAGUUGGUAAGGUAACGGCUUACCAAGGCAACGAUGCGUAGCCGACCUGAGAGGGUGAUCGGCCACACUGGAACUGAGACACGGUCCAGACUCCUACGGGAGGCAGAAGUAGGGAAUCUUCCGCAAUGGGCGAAAGCCUGACGGAGCAACGCCGCGUGAGUGAUGAAGGUCUUCGGAUCGUAAGACUCUGUUAUUAGGGAAGAACAAAUGUGUAAGUAACUAUGCACGUCUUGACGGUACCUAAUCAGAAAGCCACGGCUAACUACGUG
rnacentral:rRNA from 1 species